GAUGAACGCUAGCUACAGGCUUAACACAUGCAAGUCGAGGGGAAACGACAUCGAAAGCUUGCUUUUGAUGGGCGUCGACCGGCGCACGGGUGAGUAACGCGUAUCCAACCUGCCCACCACUUGGGGAUAACCUUGCGAAAGUAAGACUAAUACCCAAUGAUAUCUCUAGAAGACAUCUGAAAGAGAUUAAAGAUUUAUCGGUGAUGGAUGGGGAUGCGUCUGAUUAGCUUGUUGGCGGGGUAACGGCCCACCAAGGCAACGAUCAGUAGGGGUUCUGAGAGGAAGGUCCCCCACAUUGGAACUGAGACACGGUCCAAACUCCUACGGGAGGCAGCAGUGAGGAAUAUUGGUCAAUGGGCGAGAGCCUGAACCAGCCAAGUAGCGUGCAGGAUGACGGCCCUAUGGGUUGUAAACUGCUUUUAUAAGGGAAUAAAGUUAAGUCUCGUGAGACUUUUUGCAUGUACCUUAUGAAUAAGGACCGGCUAAUUCCGUGCCAGCAGCCGACGG
rnacentral:rRNA from 1 species